ACCGUAGUGAGGAGUAGCUCAUGCUAUUUCGCCCAUCCACAGCAUGGUAGCACGGAGGAAGGCUAUGGAUAUAGCAUGGCUCUAUUGCACAAGCACAGUGGUUGCAAAAAAAGAAAGGCUGGCUUAUGUCCAUAAGACAAGUCCCCCUGUUCAUCUGUUUGAGCAGUCCAUAAGGAGGCAGAAGGGAGAAGAUUUUAUCUGUCAGCUGUCAUCUUGCCUCAGUCAAAGGCUCAUUUCACAGGGCAUUCAUUUCCUUACACUUGCCAAUUGCACGUGUGUGGGAGCUGAACAGGUCUGCUUCAAUAGGGAUGUCCUCAGAAAAAACCUGGAGGUCGGAUGGGAGAGAUGUGCGGUGUGGGCACAAAGGAUGAUUACGAGGAUUUGGUUGUUGAGGAGUGGUGAACACCUAUGUGCAAUUUGAAUAACUAUUAGCCCUGCGAACGUCUAGCGAAGCAUGUGACCAAGAAGUUCAGGACCAGGGUUCAUGACUGGAGCCCCUUGGUAAGUGCGCCCUUUCUAAACGUUAUAUGUGAUGUGAUUACAGCAGCAUGAUGUUCUUUUGUGUCGAGGGUGGGUUUGAGGCACCGCAGACAGCCCAGGACGUUGAGUUCAUCGACUGAACUGAAACAACAGGCUGAAAUCGUCCCUGGUUCCUCCCUCCUGCAAAUGACUUUCAGAUUUGUCGCAGCUGCCUGUGUUCUCAGCGCUCUCCUGGCUCCGUGCGGUCCCUGAAGAGGCCAUUGCACAUCUUGCCGCACACGUCCUGUAGCCCUACCUUUGUGCAGUCUUCCCUCCUCAGUAAAAUGUUCUCAGCGCACAAAAGCAGCCGCUGAAGGGAACAGCUCCGGGCAGAGUGGGAGGGAGCUUGCCGGCUGCAGCGCGGCUGCACCAUCUCCAGUGGAAACGGACGCUGCUCACCCUGCGUAGGAAACUAAUGGAGCGUCCCUAAGAAACCCAAACUCCAGCCUGGCUCACCCCAGCUUUCUCCCCCACCUCCAGACCCCCAGGUGUAAGUCCCCCUGCUACACAAAAGAAAAGAUGACCACAGCCACCUCUUUCCGCCUGCAAACUCCACAGAGCGCUGCUUUUAGGAUGAAAGAGUGUGUGUUAUAGCACAGGAGAUGGGAAGGAAUGCAUGCCAGACACAAAAGAUUUAUUGCAAAUGCAAGAAGAGGUCUAGGACAAGAUACUAUGGCUUAGAAAAUAUAGUUUCUGCCUGCACAGCUCUUUCCUUGACAAUUCCACACUACAGAAGAGAAGCACAAAUCCUGAGUGGUCCGACAGUGGCCUCUGCUACACAGUUGGAUCAGUGAGACGUGAAUGAAAUAAAGAGUAACCCAGGAGCUGGAAUCAACAGGCAAAUUAAUUAAGCUUCUGUGACUGACUGGACAUGAUAUCUGAGCGACAGGGGGAGAUACUUCCUCUUCAUCUCAGGUCCAGUGCGGAGGACUUCCAGGGCACCAUCUGGAGAGCUUUGAUGUGUGUGGCCUGGAAUCUGAUUCUGAUAUCGGAAAUCUAGAGGGACAUCAAAACUUCAGCUCAGCAGAGGGAAGAGGAAGGAGGAAAAAAGAAGCCCAAGGCAGUGAAUUGGAGAAGCCAAUCAGCCCCUUUCUCAUUGUAGGCUUUCAGCCUGAAGCAGAAGCAAGCUGAGAGGGGAGGAGAUUUACUGCUAAGUCAAGCCCAGAGUUAUAAUUAUUAUACUGAAUUGAACAUUUUAGUUUCUGAAUCAGUCUGUUUUUCAUCCAGGCACAGGGAAACAUUACUACUGCUAAAUAAAGCCUAAUGGAACAGUGGGAGGCAAAA
ensembl:lncRNA